rnacentral:rRNA from 1 species
GAUGAACGCUAGCGGCAGGCCUAAUACAUGCAAGUCGAACGGUGUAGCAAUACACAGUGGCGCACGGGUGCGUAACACGUAUGCAACCUACCUAUUAUUGGGGGAUAGCCUUUGGAAACGGAGAUUAAUACCGCAUAAGACAGUAACAUGGCAUCAUGUAGCUGUUAAAGCUUCGGCGAUGAUAGAUGGGCAUGCGUCCAAUUAGUUAGUUGGUGAGGUAAUGGCUCACCAAGACGAUGAUUGGUAGGGGAUCUGAGAGGAUAAUCCCCCACACUGGCACUGAGUUACGAGCCAGACGCCUACGGGAGGCAGCAGUAGGGAAUAUUGGGCAAUGGACGGAAGUCUGACCCAGCCAUGCCGCGUGCAGGAUGACGGCGUUAUGCGUUGUAAACUGCUUUUUUAUAGGAAGAAGGAGACCUUGCGAGGUUUGGUGACGGUACUAUAAGAAUAAGCACCGGCUAACUCCGUGCCAGCAGCCGCGGUAAAAC